GACGAACGCUGGCGGCGUGCUUAACACAUGCAAGUCGAACGGAAAGGCCCUGCUUUUGUGGGGUGCUCGAGUGGCGAACGGGUGAGUAACACGUGAGUAACCUGCCCUUGACUUUGGGAUAACUUCAGGAAACUGGGGCUAAUACCGGAUAGGAGCUCCUGCUGCAUGGUGGGGGUUGGAAAGUUUCGGCGGUUGGGGAUGGACUCGCGGCUUAUCAGCUUGUUGGUGGGGUAGUGGUUUACCAAGGCUUUGACGGGUAGCCCGCCUGAGAGGGUGACCGGCCACAUUGGGACUACGAUACGGCCCAGACUCCUACGGGAGGCAGCAGUGGGGAAUAUUGCACAGUGGGCGGAAGCCUGAUGCAGCAACGCCCCGUGCGGGAUGACGGCCUUCGGGUUGUAAACCGCUUUCGCCUGUGACGAAGCGUGAGUGACGGUAAUGGGUAAAGAAGCACCGGCUAACUACGUG
rnacentral:rRNA from 1 species